rnacentral:tRNA from 1 species
UGCCCGGUAGCUCAGUGGCAGAGCAGGUGACUGUUAAUCACUUGGUCGCUGGUUCAAUCCCAGCCCGGGCAG